GAUGAACGCUGGCGGCGUGCUUAACACAUGCAAGUCGAACGAGAAUCAAUGGAUCAAGACUUCGGUCAAGUGAAGUUGAGGACAGUGGCGGACGGGUGAGUAACGCGUGAGGAACCUGCCUCGGAGUGGGGAAUAACAGUUGGAAACAGCUGCUAAUACCGCAUAAUGCAUACGGAUCGCAUGGUCUGUAUGCCAAAGAUUUAUCGCUCUGAGAUGGCCUCGCGUCUGAUUAGCUAGUUGGCGGGGUAACGGCCCACCAAGGCGACGAUCAGUAGCCGGACUGAGAGGUUGGCCGGCCACAUUGGGACUGAGACACGGCCCAGACUCCUACGGGAGGCAGCAGUGGGGAAUAUUGGGCAAUGGGCGCAAGCCUGACCCAGCAACGCCGCGUGAAGGAAGAAGGC
rnacentral:rRNA from 1 species